UACGUAGGGUGCGAGCGUUGUCCGGAAUUACUGGGCGUAAAGAGCUCGUAGGUGGUUUGUCGCGUUGUUCGUGAAAACUCACAGCUUAACUGUGGGCGUGCGGGCGAUACGGGCAGACUGGAGUACUGCAGGGGAGACUGGAAUUCCUGGUGUAGCGGUGGAAUGCGCAGAUAUCAGGAGGAACACCGAUGGCGAAGGCAGCUCUCUGGGCCUGUUCUGACGCUGAGGAGCGAAAGCUGGGGGAGCGAACAGG
rnacentral:rRNA from 1 species